rnacentral:rRNA from 1 species
UACGGGGGGGGCAAGCGUUGUUCGGAAUUACUGGGCGUAAAGGGCUCGUAGGUGGCCAACUAAGUCAGACGUGAAAUCCCUCGGCUUAACCGGGGAACUGCAUCUGAUACUGGAUGGCUUGAGUUUGGGAGAGGGAUGCGGAAUUCCAGGUGUAGCGGUGAAAUGCGUAGAUAUCUGGAGGAACACCGGCGGCGAAGGCGGCAUCCUGGACCAACACUGACACUGAGGAGCGAAAGCCAGGGGAGCAAACGGG